AUAAGGCCGCAGGACCCCCUGUUGGGGUUCAGGGGCAAUGCACCCUGAAGCUGAAGCAAUUUUUCCAUUUCAAGGUGCUUUUGAAGACAUUUCCUUGAUAUCAAUUUUGUAAAAAUGCAAGAAAACUUACCAGUGUUGAAUGUCUUUCAGGU